UACGAAGGGGGCUAGCGUUGCUCGGAAUUACUGGGCGUAAAGCGCACGUAGGCGGCUUCUUAAGUCGGUGGUGAAAUCCUGGAGCUCAACUCCAGAACUGCCUUCGAUACUGGGAAGCUCGAGUCCGGGAGAGGUGAGUGGAACUGCGAGUGUAGAGGUGAAAUUCGUAGAUUUCGCAAGAACACCAGUGGCGAAGGCGGCUCACUGGCCCGGUACUGACGCUGAGGUGCGAAAGCGUGGGGAGCAAACAGG
rnacentral:rRNA from 1 species